AUUGAACGCCGGCGGCAGGCCUAACACAUGCAAGUCGAACGGUAACAGGAAGAAGCUUGCUUCUUUGCUGACGAGUGGCGGACGGGUGAGUAAUGUCUGGGAAACUGCCUGAUGGAGGGGGAUAACUACUGGAAACGGUAGCUAAUACCGCAUAACGUCGCAAGACCAAAGAGGGGGACCUUCGGGCCUCUUGCCAUCGGAUGUGCCCAGAUGGGAUUAGCUAGUAGGUGGGGUAACGGCUCACCUAGGCGACGAUCCCUAGCUGGUCUGAGAGGAUGACCAGCCACACUGGAACUGAGACACGGUCCAGACUCCUACGGGAGGCAGCAGUGGGGAAUAUUGCACAAUGGGCGCAAGCCUGAUGCAGCCAUGCCGCGUGUAUGAAGAAGGCCUUCGGGUUGUAAAGUACUUUCAGCGGGGAGGAAGGGAGUAAAGUUAAUACCUUUGCUCAUUGACGUUACCCGCAGAAGAAGCACCGGCUAACUCCGUG
rnacentral:rRNA from 1 species